rnacentral:sRNA from 1 species
AAUGAAGAGCAACGCAACCUAUUUAGAUCCAAAUAUGAAUGCUACAACUUUGGAUAUACAUCUGAUUCAGUAGCUAGUAUGUAUUUGAGAGAAACAAUGAAUGAUUAUAAACGGACAAACGAGAAAAACAAUAUCACAAUUAGUGAUCAACAGCGCAGAAUUCGUGAUCUAGAACAGAUGAACAAGGAUAAAAGUGAAAGGAUAAGUGACCUAGAGCGUAGUGCAAGUAAUCUACAGAGCAAGUAUGACGAACUAAGAAAAACGGCCUUCGAAAUGAGGGAGGUACUUUGUCCCUUUUGUUUUGUUUUAACAGCCGUGUUCGGUCGUCGAUUGUAAAUUUAGAUAUUUUGGCGAGAGCACAAUGUUUGCGGAUUUGUUAAUCUGAAAUAGUUCGCUAGAUUGAAUGCGUGCAUUUCACUUACUUUAAAUAUUUUUUUUAUUCCAAUAAUAUAUAACUGCUUAAAUAUUUUUUUAAACGCAGUUUUCGUCCAAGAAAAUACUAGUAGAAAUGUUUAAUGUAAGUAAUAACAGGACAACCAACUUGAACUAAAAUUAUUACCUAUAAAGAAUUAUCGGUUUCAAUUUUAUAGUUUAACUUUUACCUACCAUUCAACCUUACGCCUUUUCAAAAGACAUUUCUUUUAUUGGUAUUCGCCGUUAGCAUCCAUCUGUCACAGUAGCUUUUAAGAAGACCGAAGCUCGUUUGCUUUCGGUGAAAAUUCAGAUAUACAGAAUUUAAUCGUUUUCAAAUAAGUUUUGGGGUCCUCUACAUAUUUGAAAACGAUU